CCUACGUGAGGCAGCAGUGAGGAAUAUUGGUCAAUGGGCGCGAGCCUGAACCAGCCAAGUAGCGUGAAGGAUGACUGCCCUAAGGGUUGUAAACUUCUUUUAUAAAGGAAUAAAGUGAGGCACGUGUGCCUUUUUGUAUGUACUUUAGGAAUAAGGAUCGGCUAACUCCGUGCCAGCAGCCGCGGUAAUACGGAGGAGCCGAGCGUUAUCCGGAUUUAUUGGGUUUAAAGGGAGCGUAGAUGGGAUGUUAGGUAAGAUGUUAAAGUUUGCGGCUCAACCGUAAAAUUGCAAUUGAUACUGGCAGCCUUGAGUACAGUUGAGGUAGGCGGAAUUCGUGGUGUAGCGGUGAAAUGCUUAGAUAUCACGAAGAACUCCGAUUGCGAAGGCAGCUUACUAAACUGCCACUGACAUUGAUGUUCGAAAGUGUGGGUAUCAAACAGGAUUAGAUACCCUUGUAGUC
rnacentral:rRNA from 1 species